GCAGCGGAUGGCGUGCGGGAUGGGCGUGUGCCUGUCGUGCGUGCGGAUGUUCGACGACGGCGAAACCCGCGCGUUCCGGCGUGUGUGCCGCG
rnacentral:tRNA from 1 species